UACGUAGGUGGCAAGCGUUGUCCGGAUUUACUGGGCGUAAAGGGCGUGCAGGCGGUUUGUUAAGUGCAGGGUGAAAGCUCCCGGCUCAACUGGGAGAGGUCCUUGCAUACUGGCAAACUUGAGGGGGGUAGAGGAAAGUGGAAUUCCCGGUGUAGUGGUGAUAUGCGUAGAUAUCUGGAGGAACACCGGUGGCGAAGGCGGCAUCCUGGACCAACACUGACGCUGAGGAGCGAAAGCCAGGGGAGCAAACGGG
rnacentral:rRNA from 1 species